rnacentral:rRNA from 1 species
GACGAACGCUGGCGGCGUGCUUAACACAUGCAAGUCGAACGGAAAGGCCCUGCUUUUGUGGGGUGCUCGAGUGGCGAACGGGUGAGUAACACGUGAGUAACCUGCCCUUGACUUUGGGAUAACUUCAGGAAACUGGGGCUAAUACCGGAUAGGAGCUCCUGCUGCAUGGUGGGGGUUGGAAAGUUUCGGCGGUUGGGGAUGGACUCGCGGCUUAUCAGCUUGUUGGUGGGGUAGUGGCUUACCAAGGCUUUGACGGGUAGCCGGCCUGAGAGGGUGACCGGCCCCAUUGGGACUGGGAUACGGCCCAGACUCCUACGGGAGGCAGCAGUGGGGAAUAUUGCACAAUGGGCGGAAGCCUGAUGCAGCAACGCCGCGUGCGGGAUGACGGCCUUCGGGUUGUAAACCGCUUUCGCCUGUGACGAAGCGUGAGUGGCGGUAAUGGGUAAAGAAGCACCGGCUAACUACGUG